GUUUUUUCUUUUUUUAUUGCUUUUCACGGCUGAUGGUUCGCUAUCAGCCGCUCACGCCACACAUGCAGGUUUCAUCACACGAGGCAGCGGAGCUCUGCAGACUCUUCCUCACCAUCUCGUCCUCCUCUUCCUCCUCGGCGGGGGCUGAGGGGGGCUUGGCCGGGCUGGCGUUCUGGAAAAACGUCUCCUCUCCGUUUUCCUCUGUCGGACUGAGACAGGAGAUGAGGAGGAAACCCAAAUUACAUUUUAUUAUCCAGGAAUGAGCAAAGCUGAUUAAAAAUCACUUCUUUUAAUAAACUGACAGCAGAUUAACCCUUCAGUAAUCUGAAACUUGCUUCAGUGAUCAAAUAAUGUGGAAACAUCCACAUUUCAUUAGAUAGUUUGUCAGAAAACCUGAGACAGUUCAUAUAUUGCAUUAUUUUUUCUUAAAAUUUCAACAAUUUACUUAUUUUUGUGAAUCCUAAUAUUGGAAAAAAUACAGUAAAACUUCCAGAAACCAUGCCAUCCCUCUGCUUUAUACCUCUGACGGCCGGUUUUGGCCCACAGGCCUGAUGUUUGACACCAGCCUCCACCAGCUCACCUGCUGUGCUGGUCUGCGCUCCUCUGGGCGGUGCUGGGAGGAGGAGGAGGGUUGGCUGGAGGCCCGAAGGCUUUCUGAGGAGCUUCAGGAGUUUCUUCUGCAUGCUCCGCCCCUCCUCUCCUCCCUCCUCUCCUCCCUCCUCUCCGACUCCGUCUCCCGUCCAUCCUCAGGCCGGUAACCUUCAUGUGCGUCCUGCGCCGACUUGCUAGCGUCCCCUUCCUGUGCAGGAGCCGAGUGUUGGACCUCCUGCUGGAUCUCUGCUGGUUCUGCUUCGGUCUCCGGAGGCUGGAGUUCAGCUGCUGGAUCAGGAUCAGGAUCAGGACCAGGACCCACAGGCUGUGGAGCCUCCGUCAGGUGUGGCGUCUUCAGCUCAGCUUCUGUCUGCUCCUCCUCCUCCUCAUCCUCCUCUUUCUUCCUCGGUGGUGCUUCCUCCUCCUCCUCUUUCUUCCUCUGCGGUGCUUCCUCCUCCUCUCCCUCCUGAUCCUCCCUGACUUGCUGAGAUUCAUUCCUACGUACGUCUUCCUCUGCUUCCGUUUCUCUCUCUCCAUUCAGAUGAGGUUUCUCCUCCUUUUCUUUCACUUGCUCACUUGAUUCCUCCUCCUCCUCCUCCUCCUCCUCUCUGGGUGGAACAGCAGGUCUGUCGGCGCCGCUGAGAAGCUGCAGAGUUACAUUCUGAAGAGAAGAAAUCCAGUAUGACCCGAGGCCGCUACAGUGAAGACGUGUUGUCUAAAUGUGACAAUAUACACACUGAUUAAGGGGCCCGAGUACAGAUCCCUGCGGAACACCACAUACUUAUCGAAGAUAUACUCAAUAAUGUCAAUACAGAUAUUGGUCAAUUCUAGAUAUGAGUGGCCGUAGCAAAGUGUAAAAUACACACUUACCUUGAUGGUACCGACAAUCACUGCGAGCACGGCCUGUCCACUGUACGUCUCCCCGAGCUCAAACUCCCCCCGCAGAGAGUGAAACACUCCGUUCAUCACACGCUUCACCUGCGACACACACACACACACAGACCGAUGUUUCCAUCUUUAAACUGUCAAUCUUGCCCAGUAUCCUUAUUCAGAUUCCAUUCAGUUAUUUACAAUAUUACAGUUAUAUCUGACUUAUAUGAAAAUCAUUAUUGUAUGUGGAUUAUAGUAAAUCGACGCCGAGUUGAGUUGAGUAGUUUUUGCAUGUUCAGACCACCAGAGGGCGAA
ensembl:lncRNA